rnacentral:rRNA from 1 species
AUGGCGGUGAUGGACCUGCCCCGCGCUAAGGAGCCCCAAGCCACCAAGGUGCCUUCUAUCGUGCAUGGCGUCCUAGACGAAUCCACCGACCCCAAAUGCCUGCCGCCACAUCGCUGCUAUGAUCACGCCAUCACGCUGGUGGAGGAUGCAUGCCCCGCCAACUCCAAACCAUGCCGCUACUCGCCGUUGCAGAAAGACGAGAUCGAGCGCCAGGUCGAAGAGAUGCUGCAGUCGGGCGUCAUCGAACAUAGCAUGAGCCCCUUCGCAACACCCGUGCUCCUCGUCAAGAAGAAGGAUGAUACGUCUCCGUCGUAUCUACUUUUCCUAACGCUUUUGCUCUUGUUUUGGACUCUAAUUUGCAUGAUUUGA